rnacentral:rRNA from 1 species
CCUACGGGAGGCAGCAGUGAGGAAUAUUGGUCAAUGGCCGCAGGGCUGAACCAGCCAAGUCGCGUGAGGGAUGACGGUCCUAUGGAUUGUAAACCUCUUUUGUCAGGGAGCAAAGGGCGCCACGUGUGGCGCUUUGCGAGUACCUGACGAAAAAGCAUAGGCUAACUCCGGGCCAGCAGCCGCGGUAAUACGGGGGAUGCGAGCGUUAUCCGGAUUUAUUGGGUUUAACGGGUGCGCAGGGGGUAUGUCCAGUCAGCGGGAAAAUUUCGGGGCUCAACCCCGCCGUGCCGUUGAAACUGGCGUUCUUGAGUGAGCGAGAGGUAGGUGGAAUGCGAGGUGUAGCGGUGAAAUGCAUAGAGAUGACGCAGAACUCCGAUGGCGAAGGCAGCAUACCGGCGCUCAACUGACGCUCAUGCACGAAAGCGUGGGUAUCGAACAGGAUUAGAUACCCUAGUAGUC